CGUCGCCCUGCAUGUUCAGAAGAUCGCCCCCUAACCGUGGGAAAGGUGAAUACCUCUCACCUGGAAAGAAUCAGAACAUGCUUCUCCAGUUGAGUGUGGGUAUUUGUAAUAGUUAAAGCUUGUGUGGCAGGUAUUACUCGAUACAUCGCAGUUAUUCGGUAUCUUUACGUGAUUAAAGCCGUCCUCCGAAAACAUGUACAGCACAGGACGUCAAGGACAUUACGUGCUUACUACUUCCUGAUGGAUUUGUGGUCAAAGAUGUUUUCCUUUGCAAUUCUUUCCAUGAGGAAUGGAUAAUAUGGAAUCAUCCAACUACUUGGAGCAUUCUUCAGCAACAAGGCCAUGCUCAUCCUUUGUAACAUCAUAGACAGGUUUAUCUACUGCUGUUUGCACACCAAGCCUCCUGAGGUUUAUCCGGGCAUGACAGAAUAACUAUAAAUUCCAUCUGAAACAUACACCUUCUUUAAACUGCCCGAAUCAACAGCGACUGCUCCUACAGAAUCACUGGCAACAAAAAUCCAGGCUGAUCUCAAGCAUUCAAAUUAUCAAGAUGGAUCUCAACGACUCACCAAAUCACUGUAAAAAAAAUUUCUUGAGAUCAAAAAGAACGUAAACAAU